rnacentral:rRNA from 1 species
UACAGAGGUCUCAAGCGUUGUUCGGAUUCAUUGGGCGUAAAGGGUGCGUAGGCGGCGCGGUAAGUCGGGUGUGAAAUCUCGGAGCUUAACUCCGAAACUGCAUUCGAUACUGCCGUGCUUGAGGACUGGAGAGGAGACUGGAAUUUACGGUGUAGCGGUGAAAUGCGUAGAUAUGCGGAGGAACACCGAUGGCGAAGGCAAUCCCCUGGGCCUGCACUGACGCUCAUGCACGAAAGCGUGGGGAGCAAACAGG